CAAUUUAUUGCUGGGGGGGGAAAGCUUAUUUAAGCAUGAUGAUAAUUCUUGCAAUGGUUUCAAAGCCUAGCCCUGGUCCAUUUGAAUAUCAGUUUCUCCACUGUAAUCUUCGACAAGUUACUUAAGUCUUUUUGUAUUUCUGUGUCCUGGUCUGUGAAAUACAGACCAUAUUGGUUCCUCUUUCCUAGGGUUGCUCUGUGGACUCAUUCAUUUAGCAAGUGUUUGCAGAGUGCCUGUUGUCUGCUAGGCACGAGAUGAGGACAAGCAGGGUUUCUGUCGUCAUGGAGCUUACUGCAACUAGAAGAGGAAAUACCAGAAAUGCCUCAAGAUUAUGGUAUAGAGAACUUGCCUGAAUUUAAAUGGACUCAGCCAUAUGUGUCAGAAUCCAGUCCAGAGAAGAAGAACCAAUCCAUGGAAUGAAGCAUCCAGCCCUGUGUUGGGCCAAAUAUUCUAGUCCAGGAAGUAGCAAACUAUGGCUGUGGGACAAGUCUGGCCAGCCACCUGGUUUUGUAAAUAAAGUUUUAUUGCAG